UCUCUCCAUAAGUUUUUUAUUGGCUUGCCCCAUUGAUAGCUAAUACUUUUGUGAGAAGCAAGGAGGAGAAGAUCUUGACUGCUAUUACAACUAUCAUUCAUAUCAACAAUGGCUUCCGCAGGGAUGGUGGUACUUGGCAAAGGGCUUUUAUUUCCAGAAGAUCGGAGACGCUAAGAGCAACUUGUUUCAAUAAAGGCAGCUGAGAACACGAUGGUUAGAUUUUUCAGCGAUUGCAAGGCCCUGUCUUUCACAAGAACGAAGCUCUUAGACAGGCUAGAAAGGUGCGCUAAUUGCUGGAUGCAAAUACUUCAUUACGUGGAGAAGUUGAAAGUUUGAGGAUGGGGAAGAAAAAU